rnacentral:rRNA from 1 species
UUCCGUAGGUGAACCUGCGGAAGGAUCAUUACCUAGAGUUUGUGGGCUUUGCCCGCUACCUCUUACCCAUGUCUUUUGAGUACUUACGUUUCCUCGGCGGGUCCGCCCGCCGAUUGGACAAAAUCAAACCCUUUGCAGUUGCAAUCAGCGUCUGAAAAACAUAAUAGUUACAACUUUCAACAACGGAUCUCUUGGUUCUGGCAUCGAUGAAGAACGCAGCGAAAUGCGAUAAGUAGUGUGAAUUGCAGAAUUCAGUGAAUCAUCGAAUCUUUGAACGCACAUUGCGCCCCUUGGUAUUCCAUGGGGCAUGCCUGUUCGAGCGUCAUUUGUACCUUCAAGCUUUGCUUGGUGUUGGGUGUUUGUCUCGCCUCUGCGUGUAGACUCGCCUUAAAACAAUUGGCAGCCGGCGUAUUGAUUUCGGAGCGCAGUACAUCUCGCGCUUUGCACUCAUAACGACGACGUCCAAAAGUACAUUUUUACACUCUUGACCUCGGAUCAGGUAGGGAUACCCGCUGAACUUAAGCAUAUCAAUAAGCGGAGGAAU